rnacentral:piRNA from 1 species
UGAACAAAAUCUGGGACUAUAAAGACCAUG